rnacentral:rRNA from 1 species
UUGCACGCUGGCGGCAGGCCUAACACAUGCCCGUCGAGCGGAUGAAGGGAGCUUGCUCCUGGAUUCAGCGGCGGACGGGUGAGUAAUGCCUAGGAAUCUGCCUGGUAGUGGGGGAUAACGUCCGGAAACGGGCGCUAAUACCGCAUACGUCCUGAGGGAGAAAGUGGGGGAUCUUCGGACCUCACGCUAUCAGAUGAGCCUAGGUCGGAUUAGCUAGUUGGUGGGGUAAAGGCCUACCAAGGCGACGAUCCGUAACUGGUCUGAGAGGAUGAUCAGUCACACUGGAACUGAGACACGGUCCAGACUCCUACGGGAGGCAGCAGUGGGGAAUAUUGGACAAUGGGCGAAAGCCUGAUCCAGCCAUGCCGCGUGUGUGAAGAAGGUCUUCGGAUUGUAAAGCACUUUAAGUUGGGAGGAAGGGCAGUAAGUUAAUACCUUGCUGUUUUGACGUUACCAACAGAAUAAGCACCGGCUAACUUCGUG